AACGCGAAGAACCUUACCUGGGCUCGAACGGCUUUGGAAACGGGUGGAAACACCUUCUUCCCGCAAGGGACCGGAGUCGAGGUGCUGCAUGGCUGUCGUCAGCUCGUGUCGUGAGAUGUUGGGUUAAGUCCCGCAACGAGCGCAACCCUUGUCCUGUGUUGCCACUCCCCUUAAAAGGAAGCACUCGCAGGAGACCGCCAGCGAUAAGCUGGAGGAAGGUGGGGAUGAUGUCAAGUCAUCAUGGCCUUUAUGUCCAGGGCUACACACGUGCUACAAUGGACGGUACAAAGCGCUGCUAACCCGCGAGGGGGAGCCAAUCGCAAAAAACCGUUCUCAGUUCGGAUCGCAGGCUGCAACCCGCCUGCGUGAAGCUGGAAUCGCUAGUAAUGGCGUAUCAGAACGACGCCGUGAAUACGUUCCCGGGCCUUGUACACACCGCACGA
rnacentral:rRNA from 1 species